AUACCGCGUGUGUGAAGAAGGCCUUCGGGUUGUAAAGCACUUUAAGCAGGGAGAAAAAGUUAUAGGUUAAUACCCUAUGACCUUGAUGUUACCUGCAGAAUAAGCACCGGCUAAUUCCGUGCCAGCAGUCGCGGUAAUACGGAAGGUGCAAGCGUUAAUCGGAAUUACUGGGCGUAAAGCGCGCGUAGGUGGUUUGUUAAGUUGGAUGUGAAANGCCCUGGGCUCAACCUAGGAANCUGCAUCCAAAACUAACUCACUAGAGUACGAUAGAGGGAGGUAGAAUUCAUAGUGUAGGCGGUGGAAUGCGUANAUAUUAUGAANAAUACCAGUGGCGAAGGCGGCCUCCUGGAUCUGUACUGACACUGAGGUGCGAAAGCGUGGGUAGCGAACAGGAUUAGAUACCCUGGUAGUCCACGCCGUAAACGAUGACAACUAGCUGUUGNGAGACUAUGUCUUUCAGUGGCGCAGCUAACGCUUUAAGUUGUCCGCCUGGGGAGUACGGCCGCAAGGCUAAAACUCAAAUGAAUUGACGGGGACCCGCACAAGCGGUGGAGCAUGUGGUUUAAUUCGAUGCAACGCGAAAAACCUUACCUACUCUUGACAUACUUGGAGGCUCUUGUAAUGAGAGCGUGCCUUUUGGAACCAAGAUACAGGUGCUGCAUGGCUGUCGUCAGCUCGUGUCGUGAGAUGUUCCGUUAAGUCSKAUAACGAGCGCAACCCYURYYSUUAKUUGCCAGCGAGUWMKGUCGGGAACUMUAASRRGACUGCCGGUGMUAAACCGUGAGGAAGGUGRGGAYGACGUCAARUCAUCAYGGCCCUUACGWSYWGGGCYACACACGUGCUACAAUGGCCGGU
rnacentral:rRNA from 1 species